rnacentral:rRNA from 1 species
UACGUAGGGGGGCAAGCGUUGUCCGGAAUCAUUGGGCGUAAAGAGCGCGUAGGCGGCCCUGUAAGUCCGCUGUGAAAGUCAAGGGCUCAACCCUUGGAUGCCGGUGGAUACUGCAGGGCUAGAGUCCGGAAGAGGCGAGUGGAAUUCCUGGUGUAGCGGUGAAAUGCGCAGAUAUCAGGAGGAACACCGAUGGCGAAGGCGGGUCUCUGGGCAGUAACUGACGUGAGGAGCGAAAGCGUGGGGAGCGAACAGG